UACUAAAAUACGCAAUAUAUCGUCAAAAUCAAAUCAAAUGUAUUUAUUCAUUUAAAAUACUAUAAAAUUUACAUAAAAUAAAUACAUAUGAAUAGGCUCCCCGCUUGGAUGACAGGUCCGUGUGCGGGGGGGAGUCGCAUAAAGCAAACAAUAUUCAUUUCAUAAUAAUUAUGUAUCACAUCAUUAUGAUAUGGAGAAAAUAAUUCAAUUUUAUAUACGGUAGGUAAUUGACAAAAUAUAAUACGUAAAUUAAAAUUUAAAAAAUAAAAUAUAUAUACUUCAAGUGAAAGUUUGGGUUGAUUUUGAUGAAAAACGCUUUAUUGAGAAUUCUAUCUGACAGCAAUCAGGGGUUUAUGAUAAUUAAUUUAUUACCAAAUACAAGGAAUAUUUUUAUAAAUAAAACAAUUAAUUUUAUAAAUUAAAGCAAACGAGAAAAGAAAUUAAAGAAAAAUGGAAAAUUUGGAAAAAAGAGAACCAAAAAUGGAAGAUCUAACUUUUUGAAUAUAGGGCGAAAAAAGUAGAGCAUCCGCCGCUUCAGUCCCGAUGCUAAGGAGCCACACACCAACCCUCCGC